rnacentral:rRNA from 1 species
AGAGUUUGAUCCUGGCUCAGGAUGAACGCUAGCUACAGGCUUAACACAUGCAAGUCGAGGGGAAACGACAUCGAAAAAGCUUGCUUUUGAUGGGCGUCGACCAGCGCACGGGUGAGUAACGCGUAUCCAACCUGCCCAUCACUUGGGGAUAACCUUGCGAAAGUAAGACUAAUACCCAAUGACGUCUCUAGAAGACAUCUGAAAGAGAUUAAAGAUUUAUCGGUGAUGGAUGGGGAUGCGUCUGAUUAGCUUGUUGGCGGGGUAACGGCCACCAAGGCGACGAUCAGUAGGGGUUCUGAGAGGAAGGUCCCCCACAUUGGAACUGAGACACGGUCCAAACUCCUACGGGAGGCA